AUUGAACGCUGGCGGAAUGCUUUACACAUGCAAGUCGAACGGCAGCACGGACUUCGGUCUGGUGGCGAGUGGCGAACGGGUGAGUAAUGUAUCGGAACGUGCCCAGUCGUGGGGGAUAACGUAGUGAAAAUUACGCUAAUACCGCAUACGAUCUAUGGAUGAAAGCGGGGGAUCGCAAGACCUCGCGCGAUUGGAGCGGCCGAUAUCAGAUUAGGUAGUUGGUGGGGUAAAGGCCCACCAAGCCAACGAUCUGUAGCUGGUCUGAGAGGACGACCAGCCACACUGGAACGGAGACACGGUCCAGACUCCUACGGGAGGCAGCAGUGGGGAAUUUUGGACAAUGGGCGAAAGCCUGAUUCAGCCAUUCCGCGUGCAGGAUGAAGGCCCUCGGGUUGUAAACUGCUUUUGUACAGAACAAAAAGGUUUCUACUAAUACUAGGAGCUCAUGACGGUGCUGUAAGAAUAAGCACCGGCUAACUACGUGCCAGCCGCCGCCGUAA
rnacentral:rRNA from 1 species